rnacentral:lncRNA from 1 species
AGAAUGUGAAUAACUGUAAUUAUAAAGAAUAACAUAGCAAAGGCAUGGUUCAAUAGAAAUGAUCAGCCGGGCACAUACAGGAAUGGAAGUCUAAGUUUUACUGGAAACGCUGGGGACUAUUUCAAUCAAAAUACACGAAGUGAAACAGACAGUAGUAGGACUACACCAUUUAACAACUCUCAUAAUUCGAGACGAGGACCUAAAUAUCCUCAAUACUCAAUAACAUGUAUCAGAUUGUCCACAUUCCAAAUAUUGCCAACCAAUAUACAACAACACCCAGAAACUAUGGCAGUGGCAGGGUUUUACUAUACAGGUAUACACAACUUUAGAUUUACUGAACAUGUCCUUCUGUAACAAAUAUACAAAUAAGGAUCAUUUAACAUAUGUUUAAAUGAGCUGAUAUUUAUUAUUCUUGGUAUAAUAUCAUUUAACCUUUUCUUUGGCUUCCCCCAUCAUCAUCAUCAUCUUCCAAUAAUGGUCAGGAGUCGUAGACGACUGUAAAUACUGACCAAGCGUAGGUCUGAGGGAGCCACUCUCCACACAGGUUUAAUAUGUACCAAUAAAAAGCUAGUAUUUACAGUUAAAACUAUCUACAUCAAAUGGUGGUUUAUGUGGUUGUCCUCAUGGCCACCGCUGCCUGGAGGCUGGCCUUGAAGCCGUACAGAGUGGUGGAGUUUGUCACCGUUGUUGGCAGCUGGUUCCAAUUCUGGAUAGUGCGAGGAAAGAAGGAUUGUCUGUAGACUUCUGUUUUGGUGUAUAUCUGUCUCAAUCUGAUUGCCCUCUGGUUCUGGUGUCACUUUUGUUGAUGAGACUGUCGGCUUCAGGAAUGGAAAUCAUGCCAUUGAUGGCCAUGUACAUGAUCAAUAGGCAAUGGUUCCUACGUCGGUCUUGUAAUGAUUCCCAUUUGAGAAGCUCAAUCAUGUUGGUGACACAUCCAGGGGUUUUGUCUCUGUAGUUAUUACAGACAUAACGGGCUCCCCUUCUUUGCAUUUUGUCGAGUCGGUGUAUGUUUUUCACUUUGUAUGGGUCCCAUACAGCAGACGCAUACUCCAAUGAUGGUCGGGCUAUGGAUAUGUAGGUUGUUUUUCGGACUGUUUUGUUACAGUCCCUGAAUUUGCGGCGCAAGAAUCCUAGAGUUCUUGAUGCCUUGGCUGCUGUUAUCUCUGCGUGCUUUUUCCAAGUUAGGUCUUCUCUAAAAGUACCACAAAGAUAUACACAACUUCGAGUUGGUGUCCAUGUAGGUGGUACUGUGUCUCCAAGAUGUUUUUCGGUUGGUGCCUAUUCUGAUGACUGUGCAUUUAGCAGGGUGAAAGCUCAUCUGCCACACAUGUUCCCAUUGCUCUAGGGCAGUCAGGUCUUGUUGAAGGUUUCUUCUGUAUGGUAAAACAUGUGUUUUAAAUAAAGCACUUUCACUAUUAGUCACAUUUAUCAUGUUUAUUUUUCAAACAAAAAAACACAAACAAAUGUAAUCAUGUCAAGCUUGAAAUGAUGAAUGUUACCUAAACUUUUUCUUUUUCCAAGCUCUGAAAAUGAAUUUUAAUUGAUUGUAACAAAGGUUCCCAUGCAUUUUAAGAUUGGUACACAAAUGGUCUAAUGAAUAGUAAGUCCUUAAUAACAUCUACAUUUUUAAAGAAAAACAUCCAUACUACGUGCUAUUAUUGAAUCAUGAUGUAUCAAAAAGGCGUUAAAAAAAAUUCAUAUCCUUAUCUACAAUGAAAAUGUUUAGAUCUGUAAAAAUAACGUUUAUUUAUUCCAUGAAGUCAUAAAGAUAUUGAAAACCUUCAAAUACAUAUGAAAUAGAUAAAAAUGCAGGUUUGAAUAGACUCACAUCUUUGAUAAAAUGGGGAAUAGAAUGACUUAUAUUUACCUGUUACAAUUUUGAAAUCAUUAUAUAAAGUUAAAUGUAUAUUUAAAUGUGUUGCAAUUGUCUACUUCAAUUUGAUAAUUUCCAAAAACUUUUUGAAGAAUUCCCACUUCAUCAAAUUUUAUGAUGUUUAUAGUGUGACACAUAUCCAUAUGUAAUCCUGUACUUUGCUUCACGGGGUACUUAAGCAAAUCAGUUAUUAGCUCCAGUGGCCAAAUGGUAAGAUGAGUUUUUUUCUCAUCUCUUGGCGUCCAUCAUGGACCGUCACAGAAAUGUACAAAAAUCUUCUCUUUUGAAACUACUCUUCCACAUUUAACCAAACUUGGCCACAAUCAUUAUUGGGGUAUCUUGUUUAUAAAAAUAUGUCCGCCAACCAAGAUGGCAAACAUGGCUAAAACAUAGGGGAAAUUGCAAGUAAAAGCUAUUAUUUUAAAUAUAGAAAUUCGACAGGGGCAAACAUGUUCACAAUGUUGACCUCUAUGAAUUGUUCAUUGAACUAAAACUAUGUGGCAACUUGUUAUUGAAGUAGUUAUAUGCAUUAAAUGACUAAUUUCACCAUUUUCAUCUUAAAAACUAUAAAAAAAAAUAAAUAAAAAAAAUAAAAUUAAAAAAUUAAAACUUUAAGUUGCAAAAAUGAUCAGUAGGACAAGAUAAAGGAAUAAGUUUUGCAUUGUAAAAAUCAUAAGUUUACUCCUUUUCAUGGUUAUUGCUCUUUGAUGACGAUGUUUUGCCAUCUUUGUGUUAUUGCCUAAUAUCUUAAAAACUAUAAUAGAUUUAUUUUCGCAUUUUGCCUUUAACAAUGUAUGAUAACAAUUAUAAUAGACACAUAGAAAACUUCACGACAAAAAUAAUCAGCAAGGCAAGAUCCACAAACAAGUCAAUAUUGUAAGUAGACUGUCACUCUUCGUAUUAGUGACUGCUCUUAAAGGAAGUUUUUUUUACCUGUUUUGAGUUUUGAGCAAAAUCUAAAGAAAAUAGAGAAAAACGUAACAGAAAAAUGAUCAGCAAUACAAACUCAAACCAAAAAAUGUUUUUUUCAUGAAUUCUAUUCUUAUCAACAAUGUUGGAGAGAGUCAAUUGUUGAAUAUGAACACAUACCUAUGUGAUCGACACAGCGUCGUAAGAGCCUCUUGCUUUGUAUACCGGUAACUAUAUCACAUUUAGCCAUUUAUGCAUACUGAUAUUUAUAAAAACUGUCUAUAAAUUAAAUAAUCAAGGUAGCUGACUUUACUAUAAAUGAAUAAAUAUACCAUUUUUAAAGUAUCUAACAAAUUGAUUAACUAUAACAUGUGGUUCAUAGGUGUGACAAACUAAAUAUGCACCUUCACAUUUGUUAAUUUCAAGCAGGAGUUCACAUUUUAACCGGAUUUUCACAGGAAAAUAUAAGUUAUUAAUUUGGUGAUGUAAGGCGGCCGAGCAGCUGUCAAACAGUAUCGAUCCUUGCAAUAACUUGAUAUAAUAAUCAGAUAUUAAGUUGUUUCAUGUGACUCAAAUAAGAUCAAAAACUCUUUGAUAAAAUCUUUACUAAUUUAGAUAUGCUGUUUCCUGUGACUAUAAUUGAAGGUCAGUCAACGUAUAUUUGUUCCGCUUAACAAAAGUAAUCUUCAACAAUGCCACAAUAUAUAUUCCUGUUAGAACUGGAAAUAUUCUAUACUCUUAAUUCCAUUAGAAAUCAAAAAUAUCACGAUUGUCAUAUCCAGUGGAAACGAUAUUUCAUAAUAUUUAUUCCAUUCAGAACUUAUAUUAUGAUGGAACUCCUAUUUUAUGACUUUAGUCAAUUUAGUCGAUUUUCGCGAUUUUAGUUUUUAUUGAUGUUGAGUUAUACUUUAUCGGCAAGGAUCGGUAAGAAACAAGAAGUAAAUAAUGAUUAGAUUGAUUUUGGUUUUUCCAUUUCUCAACCCUACAAACAAUCAUAUAUUUUAUUUUACUUGAUCCUGUUUUUGGGGAUUGCAAAUCUUAUAUCAUUGUCAUAGAGAAAAAAUCCGGUUUGCUAUCAAUCUGACAGCCCCUUGUUAUGAGUAAAAUAGGUUGACUGGUCUUAUUUGUCAUAAUAGAAAUAAAAAUAAUUGAAGUACUGAUUUCAGGCAACAAUGAUCAUGUGAGAUGUUUUCACUGUGGUAUAGAAUUACAGAACUGAGAUUCAGAAGAUAAUCCUUUUGUAGACCCUGCUA